rnacentral:ncRNA from 2 species
GGGUCUGAGACAGAUUUGCCUCAGAGGAUUCGGAUGGUCGGGCCGCCAUCC